rnacentral:rRNA from 1 species
CACGUAGGGUGCGAGCGUUGUCCGGAAUUAUUGGGCGUAAAGAGCUCGUAGGCGGUGUGUCGCGUCGGCCGUGAAAACCUGCAGCUUAACUGUGGGCUUGCGGUCGAUACGGGCAUCACUGGAGUUCGGCAGGGGAGACUGGAGUUCCUGGUGUAGCGGUGAAAUGCGCAGAUAUCAGGAGGAACACCGAUGGCGAAGGCAGCUCGCUGGGACGGUACUGACGCUGAGACGCGAAAGCGUGGGGAGCGAACAGG